GAUGAAGAACGCAGCGAAAUGCGAUACGUAAUGUGAAUUGCAGAUUUCAGUGAAUCAUCGAAUCUUUGAACGCACAUUGCGCCCCUUGGUAUUCCAUGGGGCAUGCCUGUUCGAGCGUCAUUUGUACCUUCAAGCUCUGCUUGGUGUUGGGUGUUUGUCUCGCCUCUGCGUGUAGACUCGCCUCAAAACAAUUGGCAGCCGGCGUAUUGAUUUCGGAGCGCAGUACAUCUCGCGCUUUGCACUCAUAACGACGACGUCCAAAAGUACAUUUUUACACUCUUGACCUCGGAUCAGGUAGGGAUACCCGCUGAACUUAAGCAUAUCAAUAAGCGGAGGA
rnacentral:misc_RNA from 1 species